rnacentral:rRNA from 1 species
CCUACGGGUGGCAGCAGUGAGGAAUAUUGGUCAAUGGCCGAGAGGCUGAACCAGCCAAGUCGCGUGAGGGAAGACGGCCCUACGGGUUGUAAACCUCUUUUGUCGGGGAGCAAAGCGAGUCACGUGUGACUCAUUGAGAGUACCCGAAGAAAAAGCAUCGGCUAACUCCGUGCCUGCAGCCGCGGUAAUACGGAGGAUGCGAGCGUUAUCCGGAUUUAUUGGGUUUAAAGGGUGCGCAGGCGGAGGUGCAAGUCAGCGGUCAAAUUGCGGGGCUCAACCCCGUACUGCCGUUGAAACUGGUUGACUUGAGUAUAUUUGAGGUAGGCGGAAUGCGUGGUGUAGCGGUGAAAUGCAUAGAUAUCACGCAGAACUCCGAUUGCGAAGGCAGCUUACUAAACUAUAACUGACACUGAAGCACGAAAGCGUGGGGAUCAAACAGGAUUAGAUACCCGUGUAGUC